UACGUAGGGUGCGAGCAUUGUCCGGAAUUAUUGGGCGUAAAGCGCGCGCAGGCGGUCCUUUAAGUCUGAUGUGAAAGCCCACGGCUCAACCGUGGAGGGUCAUUGGAAACUGGGGGACUUGAGUGCAGAAGAGGAAAGCGGAAUUCCACGUGUAGCGGUGAAAUGCGUAGAGAUGUGGAGGAACACCAGUGGCGAAGGCGGCUUUCUGGUCUGUAACUGACGCUGAGGCGCGAAAGCGUGGGGAGCAAACAGG
rnacentral:rRNA from 1 species